ACUUAUUGGUUGCGGCAGGAUGCAUCAUUGUCAUGGAGAUAGUAUAUAAAAUGGACUUCUCGUUACUCGGCUUUCUUGUUUGUGCUGCCAUCUUGGGAAUCGGCAUAUAUGAAGCUACAUCAUUGGAUCGUUCUAGGAGAGAUUCUUUCCAAGGCUCAAGCUCCAAUGGCAUCUUGGACGAUCAAGUUGAAAUGUCUCCACUUCCUACUUGAUGUGCGAUAGCUAUCAUACUUUUGACUCUUAACAGUGAUGCAAAUGAGGAGAAACAUGUUUUCCGGAUACUCCUUAUUGUGUCGUGGUAAUUGGCCUGAAACUAUUUAUAAUAUCAGUACUUCCCAGUUAUGCCCAAAUAUCAAGUGCCUGGAAUCAUGGAGAGCACAUCAAAGAAUAUACAUAACA
rnacentral:misc_RNA from 1 species